rnacentral:tRNA from 1 species
GGCGGCAUGGCCAAGUGGUAAGGCAGGGGACUGCAAAUCCUUUAUCCCCAGUUCAAAUCCGGGUGUCGCC